CCCUCUCUCUCUGCCGCUCCGUCUCUCUCACUCUCACUCUCCUCUAUGCUGCUAUUCUGGGAAGUGGCGCUUGGAAUAACCCCCGUGUGCGUAAGAGUGUGUGUGUGCGUGUGUAUGUGUCUCCUGGUUUCACCCUGACACACGCACACAUACACGCUCACAACACAGUCAGACACACACAUUUACAGUCUGUCUGACUGCAGUAGUGGAGCUCCGGCAGCAGAAAUCCGGUCGGAAAGGAUUCCUUCCAUUUUUACGCGCAACUUUUCCUCCGUCGGCCGCCUCGCCGCAACGUUUCCACCGCUUCCCCUCGACUGUUUUGGAUUUCUAACAACCAUCUCCCGGCUGUUUCUAACGGGCAACCAGCGAGGAGUGCAAGCCCGCCCGGAAUCGGAUCUCCUGUCACCGGGGUUUGCUUGUUGUCAUUCUCGCACGGAGACGGAGACGCGCAGCCGGAGCGCAGGCAGAAGGGGCAGUUUGUGGACUUGAUAAACUGGACGAGAGGACAAACAGUUACACCAGCCCUCUUCUCUCUUUUCUCUCACCCAUAUUCUGUCUGUUUCUCCCAUCAUUUAUGUCUUUCCUUCCCUUCCCUUCUAUGCUUUUCUUUCUAACAAUCUCUCUCUUUCUUGCAUCUCUUCCUUCCCAUCCUCACCCAUUUUCCUUGCUCCCCCACUCUUCCUCCUCUCUAUUUUUCUCUCUCUUCCUUCUCCCCUCUCUCCCCUCACUCAAUCCAUUACUCCUUUCUUCUUUCUAUUUCGUUUGCCUGUUUUCUAUACCUCCUACUUGUCACACUUUCCCCUGGUCUUUUUCGUUUCCUCCUUGUCUUUCCUUCUCCUUCACUCUCAUGCUCUCCGUCCAUCUUUCUCUCCCUCCUCUUGCACCCUUUCCAUUUAUCUCUUUCUUUCUUUCUUUAUGUUCUCCUGGCUCUCUUUCUCCUCCCUAUUUCUCUAUUUUGUAUCAUUCUCUCACACCUCCACUCUCUCACUAUCUGCUUCUUUCUCUCCCCUUGCUCUCUCUCUUCCUUCCUUUCUCUGUGUAGCAUUCUUUCUCUCCCUUUCUCACUUUUGCUCUAGCUGCUCCUCCUUUUCCUCUCAUUCCUCCCUCUCACCUCCUCCCUCUCCUUCCAUACCUUCCCCUUUACCUUCUCGGUUUUACUCCCUGUCUCGCUUUCUCUCUUCCCACCUUCACUCUCUGUUCCUUUCUCUCCCAAAUUUGAAGAAACUCUCUCUGUUAACCCCUGUCUGACUCUGUCCUCGACUUCAUUGCUUCCUUUCGUUUUUUCAUUUCGUCUUCCUUUAGAGAACGUUCAGUGUGUGUGACCGUACAACGAGAGCGGUGAUGGGGGAUUUUACUUCACACCUCUGUUGACCACUUCCUCUGCCACAUCCUGUUUGUGUCCUAUUGCGACAGUGAAUGGACCUGCGCACACACACACACACACACACACACACACACACACACAUAUAGAAACCCCUGAUUAAAUCCACAAACAUGCAUGCAAACUAUAAAACCGCUGAAAUAUAAAGCUCUUUUUAGACAUGGGGUCUACACCUUUGCUGCUUCAUCAAUCUGGUAACAUGACAUCAUUCUGUCAUUCAGACAUUCGUCUUUUUUUUACGUUAAUAAUCCUCACCAGCUUCAUUCAGACUCAACAUAGUGAUGUAACACAAACACGAUAUGUGUAAUUCACACAAGAUUGGACAAAAAAAAUCUAUU
ensembl:lncRNA